AUUGAACGCUGGCGGCAGGCCUAACACAUGCAAGUCGAGCGGAGCGGCGAACGGGUGAGUAAUGCCUAGGAAGCUGCCCGGUAGUGGGGGAUAACGUCCGGAAAGGGGCGCUAAUACCGCAUGCUAUCAGACGAGUCUAUGUCGGAUUAGCUAGUUGGUGGGGUAAAGGCCUACCAAGGCGACGAUCAGUAACUGGUCUGAGAGGAUGAUCAGUCACACUGGAACUGAGACACGGCCCAGACUCCUACGGGAGGCAGCAGUGGGGAAUAUUGGACAAUGGGCGAAAGCCUGAUGCAGCCAUGCCGCGUGUGUGAAGAAGGUCUUCGGAUUGUAAAGCACUUUCAGUUGGGAGGCGUUACCCACAGAAUAAGCACCGGCUAACUUCGUGCCAGCAGCCGCGGUAAUAC
rnacentral:rRNA from 1 species